rnacentral:lncRNA from 1 species
GUGACCUUGGUGGGAGCCUGUUCAUUGCUGUCAUGGAGACGGAAUCAAUAGUGCAGUGGGAUAAGGAGUCAGUGGGAAGUGAAGGAUGUUAACGAGGAAGGUAGAAAACUCUGGAACUCUGAUAUUGAAGGGAAAGAAGGAGAGAGAGAAAGAGGGUGAGCACCUGUGUGAAUGGGAAAGAGGGGUCCAAAGAGGGAUUUUUGAAAUUCUCAGUUUCUUAAAAGUAUAAAAGCUAAUGUGCAAGAGCCAUCGCAUCUCAGAUUUGCCCCUUGAAUUUUCCCAUAUUUCUCUCUUAUGUCCUUUGUUGUGUUAAUUAGACGCCUCCAGUGGAACAGUGUGGGUUUUGAGCUCCAUACAUAUUUCGCUGUCAGUGAAUGGAAGAAUGGAGAAUUGUGUGUCACAGAAUCCUAGUAAGUUUUGGAUUUUUGCCUGUCAGGGAGGCAGCAGAUGGCUGAAAUCCUGGCGUGACGUGGCUGGAUCUUGCACGAUCUGAGGACCCCUGCACUGAUGACUGGGACAGGUCCAGAUCUUUCCUAUAAAUAUAUUAAGAUUCGGAUCAGUCCUGAGCAGCAGUUAGGCCAACGCCACCCCUCGCUGCCCUGGCGCCGUCUCUCACCGACCUCAGCAGGUACGUGUCAGGAUGGAAAUGAGGCUCCAUCCCUAGCCCUCCCCAGAGGACACAGAGCAGCCUCCCUUUCAGAAAUGGGCUUCCAGGGCUGGAGAAACGAUCCAUCACACUCCCCUGAUAAUGUGGCCCUGAGGAGUAGUCACUCAGCAACCCCUCUGGUUGAUGAAGAUGACAGAGGAGAUGAAAUCCCACCCUUUGCACCAAGAGACAGGUGUCGGGCCACAUCUGUCAGCUGACCCCUGAAGCGGAGAGUGGGGCUCAGCAGAAGCUAAGGUGUUGCCGAUGGGACAUGUGAUCUAGGGGGAAGGAAGGUAUGUAUGGAACAGCUUUGAGAAAUUGUACUUGAUGUUCCAUCUCCUUGAAUCCUAAAGCCAUUCAAGUUCCCCGUAACUAUGACCAAUAUUCAUACCAGGGUCCCGAGUGGAGGGGAGUUUAGGUCAACCAGGGAAACGCUUUCUGUCGUCUCCAGUCAGCAGCUCACUCUGGAAUUACUGAAGUUUUUCCAUUUUGUCUUGAUGCCUCCGGGGCUCUGGAUGCUGUACUCUCCCUAUAGAGGCCAUUUCAUGCUCCCAGGUGUUGUUGAACCUUUAAAAAAUUUUUGAUCUGUAAAGUUUUUCAGUCACAAUACUAUUGAAAUGGAAAAGGAAAUUCUAAAUUUAAAAACACAAAGAAGUGUGUAGACUUCAGGGAGAACACGUGCAAGCGACACCACAGAUAUAGGGUUAGCAUCCCCGAUUUGUGGAACACCCUUACUGUGAAACAAAGAGAUUGGCAAGAGCUUUGAACGAAAGAUUUACAUACAAAUAUACAGGAACAAUCAACACGUCAGUUACAAUAUGCCAAAAUCACAAGAACUAAUAUCAUGAGAUCAUUUUCUAAUCCUGAAAAAUAAUACUAAGAGGAAAAGUCAAGAUGUAGAAUGUUUUAUGUAAAAUCUCUUGGGAGAGACGCUGUGUGUGUGCAGGUGUCUGUGUUCGUGCACCCCUCCGCCACAGGGACCCAUCUGGAGAGGAGGCCCCACUCUAUGACAACAGGCCCCUUAGGGUCAGGGGUGGGAGUCGGGGCCGUGAGAGAUGCAGGACAACUUCAAUUUAUAAAUACAGUUUCACCUAUUGUGUGAAAUACUGUACUCAGGACAAAUGGUACCUUGGUAACACUGAAAACAGAAAACCCUCGUGAACAGAUUGACAAGAGUGCACAUAUCUUCACUACUUUGUAAAACUGUUCAUUGUAUUCAAUUUCAUGGGGAAAUGAAGUAGCUAAAAAAACCCAGUUGACUUUGUGUGUGUGUGUGUGUGUGUGUGUGUGUCCCCUCUGGCUCUACCACCUCAAGGACACACUCACAGUUGCAGCUUUACCCUCAUUCAGACCAGAGCUGGACUUCCAAUCUCGCGUUUGGAUAUCCCCGAAAAUGUGCUUUUUAUAUCCUGGGAAACUGACGGAUUGAGAGGGAUUGCUCCAGGUGAGAGAAAUGCAGACAACGCUGGCUGAUCCCAUUAAGUCACUCCCAGGCUUUAUCCCUCCCUCCCUCUUGCUGAGCCCAGUGGUCUGACUCUCAGAGCUGCAAUCCUGCAUCUGGCCACCAGGUGACAGCGCAUCCAUACCCAUUUUGCUUUUUCUUUUUUGAGAAAAAGGAGUGCAUUCUGCAAAGAAUAACACAUAGCUUGGACUGGUUGGUUUACUAUGAUGCCAGUUCUGUUUCAAAAAUUCAUCUGUAUAUUGAAGCAGUUCCAUCUGCUGUUGACCCCAGAUCUACAUCGUGUUCGCUGAUUUCUCUCUUCCCUCAUCAGUGUAGGUUGAGGAGUCCACACUGUAGAGAAAGUCCCUGCCAGAGGAGGCGGAUUUCCCUCUCCGUUACCCCACCCCAGUACAGGCUUCCCAGACCUGCUCCCAUGCCGCCUGUCAUCCCCUGUCCAGGACGCGGCUGCCCAGACCCUGCUGCCAUGCCUCAGCCUCUCUGUCACCUUCCGCCUGCCCUGUGCUGCCCUUGUCCCACCAGCCUCUGACUCCCAAGGCGCGCUACUGCCCACUGGGGUUUCAUCCCAUGCAGGUCCCGGAGUGUAUGUUUUUACAAUCUUCUUGUACACCUAUCACUUUUCUUCAGAAAGAAUUACAACCAUUCUAUAUGGGUUCAUAGGCUGUUUUGUUUUAUUUGUUUGUUUUUGAAGGGAAAGAUUCGCCCGGAGCUGACAUCUGUUGCCGAUCUUCCUCUUUUGUUUUUUCUCCCCAAAGUCCCAGUACGUGGUUGUAUAUUCUAGCUGUAAGUCCUUCUAGUUCUUCUACGUGAACUGCCACCACAGCAUGGCAACUGACAGAGGGAGUGUGUGGUUCCGCGACCGGAAACGAACCGAGUACUGUGGUGAAGGCACCGAACUUUAAGCACGAGCCAUCAGGGCUGGCUGCAGGCUGGGUUUUAAGAGGUUAUUGUACCGUUUUUUACUCCUGGCAGGCAGUUCUUAGGAGAGAAGUCUGAUACUGAGGGUAUGUUGCUGCCACCUUGUGACGGAAGCCUGAACUGCAGCUUGGACUUCCCUCAGCAGGAACUUGGGAGAGAGGGGCUGUGGCCCAAACCCACCAGACAGAACUUUCUGGAAGUCUGCGUAGAAAGGAGGGAAUUCCUUGUGUCCAUCUAUACUGAUGUCCUCUUUCUGGACAUUUCCUGUAAAUGGAAUCAUAUGAUAUGUGUUGUUUUGCAUAUUCAGCUUCUUUCACUCGGCUUAAUAUUUUCAGUGUUUAUCCGUGUUGUAGCUUGUGUCAGCAUUUCAUUCCUUUUUAUUGCCAAAUAAUAUACCACAUUUUAUUUGUCCAUUCCUUAAUUGGUGAACAUUUGGAUUGUUUCCACUUUUGGCUAUUAUGAAUAGUGAUGCCAUGUACCUUUGUGUACAAAUUUUUAUGUAGACAUGUGUUGUCAUGUCUCCUGGCUGUGCAUCUAGGAGUGGAAUUGCUGGGUCAUAGACAGUAACUCUCUGUUGAGCUGUGUGAGGAACUGCCAGGCCGUUUUGAUGCCCCUGGCAGUCUUGAGGGAUGCAGGGCUAGUCUGCACAGUGAUUAGACUGCGCUUCUGGGUUUUGAGAAGGAACACCGUAGAGUUGAAGGGCUCUUUCUUGUCACAUCAUAUCUGGGAGGACAUGAUACCCACAUGACAUCACUGGGUCACUGGACAGGUUGACCCACCUCAUUGGGUUAAGGUGGUGUUUGUUGAGUUUCUCCAGGGUGCAGUAACUAUUUUCUAUUCCCAGACUCUGUUCUUUAGGAGUGAGUCUCUAAGCCUGCCCUGCCCUCGAGGGUGGAGGCUGAAUUAAGGUUCACCUCAUGGAGGCAGGAUAUCUACCUCCAUGUUAAUUGCAAUAUUUUUUCGAAUUAUUUCAUAAAGACAGUUUGUCUCCUGUCAUCCAUUUAUUUCUUCAUUCAAACAUUUAUUUAUAUCAGUAUGGGUUCAUUGAAACUUAUUUUGUAGAUUGAAUUUUUUUUUUAAUUAAUGGCUACUUCCACAGAGAAAGUCCAGCAUCGUGAUUUCUGCGGUGCAGUGAAAGAAUUCUGACUUAAUCAGAAAACUGCAAAAGAGUUCCCUAUCACCACCGUUAUAUUGUCUAAGUAUGGCACAUUAGACACUGCUUUCAGACUAUAUACAUAUAAAACAAUGGCAGAAUUUGGAACAACAUUAUAAUCACAGACGAUUUUUUUUCGUACCUGUUAAUCCCUUGAAAAAGAAAUGAAAAACAGAUAAGGCAGGUUAUUGAAGUGGGCAUUAAAAAAUUAUUGCUAACAUGCACUAAACAUAUUUGCAAAAUACUUUUCAAUGAAGCAAACGUAUGAGAUAUGUCAGAGGAAAGGUGUGCCCAUGUGAAAGCCCAGUCUCUAAGCACCACCUUCACGCUAUCAGACUCUGACUCUGUGGAGGCGUUUACAACACAGGCAUUUACGUAACUGAUCGCACUGCAGUAUAAUCCUUGUCUCUACCCAAGCAACUGAAUUCCGUCCUGGGGGAAGGAAAUCCUUUCCUCUCCGGUAAUGCCUGCCUCCUUUUGAAUAGGUAUUCCAAUAUUCUUUUUCUUUUAAGAUUUUUAAAUUUUUCCUUUUACUCCCCGAAGCCCCCCAGUACAUAGUUGUAUAUUUUUAGUUGUGGGUGCUUCUUGUUGUUGCGUGUGAGACGCCGCCUCAGCAUGGCUUGGUGAGCCGUGCCAUGUCCUCGACCAGGAUCUGAACCAGCAAAACCCUGCCCGCUGAAUCGGAGUUCGCGAACUUAACCGCUCAAACACCGGGCCGGCCCCUAUUUCAAUAUUCUUGAUUGAUAAAGGUGACAAAGAGGUGGUUGUUGAGUUGGCAAGUGUGCUCUCAGUGGCAGUGAGGGGGAACACAGCCCCAUUCGAUGAGGGAUGAAACUGAGUUGGAGGGGAGGUGCAGGGCGAUGAGAGUUGAGUAUCCAGAAUUCUUCCUAGAACUUUGGUGCAAACGGGAUGAUAUGUAAAGAGGACAGUAACUAGAGGUGUGGAGAGGGGUCCAAGGUAUUAAAGCAUAUUUUAAAAUCAAUUAUAAGAGACUUGAGCCAGGUGAAAUCUUAAUGGGAAGGAGCCCUCUCUUCUCAGAAUUAACAUCUGAAUUUACCACACCACCCUUUCCACCCUUGACUUCCUUGUUUCCAUUCUGGAGAAGCCUAGAACUUAAGCAAAGGGAUGGUGCAGCGUUUGGUGUUAAUACCUCUUAACUGAAUUCCUGGUUGGACGGACCGAUAGACGGAUGGAUGGAUGCAGGAUGUGUCAGACAUGUGCUGAGAAUUGACGGAUGUUUAUGUCCUGGGGCAAAGCUCUUCAUGCAGAUGACGGACCCCAUGGCGUCGGGUGGCUGAGAGGAUGCAGCUUCUCAGGACUCUGCACUGGAUGGCUGAUAGAUGGGAAGCAUUUCGGGUGUAAGGACCUUCCAGCGCUUCGCGGGUGCCACAGAAAGCUGACGCGAUACGGCGACCAUGACGACAUUGUAAUAGAGACAGAGGUGGCCUCGCGAGAAGAGCAGGUCCCGCCUUCAGGUGUUGGGUACUCAGCUGAGAUGGGAGACCCCACGGUGGGGGAUGAACGGCCCUGGGACGUGGAGGAGACAAAGGGACCCAGAUCCAAGGCGGGUCUUUCCCGCUUUGGGACUCAGAGUCCCGGCGGGCUCGUAGGUAAAGGCACUGGGGUCUCGCCGGUCCCAGUGAGUGUGGCGUCCUGCCCCAAGGGUGUCCUACAGAUGCUUUCCUUCUAAAUUCAGGGACGCGGGAGAUGACACAGGGAACGGCUCUCUCUGAGCCCCAGUUGCCCCCUCUGUUAAACGGGAUGAGAAUGCUCAAACCCCAGGAUCGCUGGGAGCGUUCAGUGACAACACGUGAGUAAGCCCAUGGCCCUGUGGUUACUGCGGGACCGUGAGUGUCUGCAUGAAUUCCGGCCACUUGUUAUUGUUUUCAACUUUGUCGUUAGGGGAUAGAGGAGGAAAAGAGAGAAAAAAGACCCUGAUGACAGCCCGUUGUACUUUCUGGGUGUUAUGAUCACUACCCACUUGUAUCAGUGUCAUUGUCACUAUCCCGGUGCCUAGCCUGGUGCGGGGCACACUGUUACUCCAGGAAAGCAGAGUGAUUGCUGGAUCUGUCUCUGCCUGUGCAGCUCUUCAUGCUGCUGGCCGAGCUCCUAUCAGGCGUCUGAAGGAGGCAGCUUCUGAGGAUCUGUGUCUCCAUGACUGCUGAACCAUCUGCUCCAGAUUCAAGGGCAGCCAUCCUCAGGAGACCACGACACUUCACAUCCCUGCUUGGAUAUGAGGCCUGGUCCGACUCUUCAUGCCAGUGGCCAAACUCCUAUCAGGCGUCUGAAGGAGGCAGGUUUUGAGGAUCUGUGUCCUGCUGGCUGCUGAACCAUCUGCUCCAGAUUCAAGGGCAGCCGUCCUCAGGAGACCCCAGCCCUUCACAUCCCUGUUGGGAUAGGAGGCCCGGCCCGAGUGACUUCUUAGGUUCCAACGAAAGCAUGUUGUGGAAUCCGUCCUGUGAGGUUCACAAAGGAGCCUCAAAGGAGAGAAGCUGAUUUGAUCCCCUCAUGAAAGAAGACAUUUAGCAGAUGGAAUCCAUUUCUUCAGCAGCUGCAUGCUCUGUAGUAGCCCUGAAGCCCAAAUUAGAGAAGUCUUUUUUUUUUUUUUUUUUUGCCAAAAAGCAAUGGAUUGUCCACUUGGGAAGAUGGGUGUGGAAAUAUGCAGUAGUUGCAUCUUUCUGGCAAUUUGACGUUGUCAUGUAAAUUCUUCCCUGGUGACCAUGGCUUUUUUCCUCUUUGGGCCGUCAGAGGAGGGUGUGGACUCUGAGCCUCAGAAGCAGGAGCUGACAGAGAAGAACCAAGUGUGCUGGCGCGUGUGCAGACAGGUUCCUGGAGCAAGAGUGAGGAGAUCAGGGUCCCAUCACUGGGACACUUUAGAUAAUUUGCAAAGCCAUGUAGCCAGAGCAUGUGCAGAAGAAGAAAUCUUGACCUGAAAUGACCACAAAACUGGAGAUUCUCCUUCCCAUGGAACGAAAGCACCAGGGCAUGACCAGAACUUAAAAGUCAGAUUCAUAUCAGAAGCCAGGGUCCAUCAUUCAGGCAGAUCCUGUGUUAAAAUUACUUCCUCACAUUUCUAUAAAAGUUUAGAACCUGACCAUAAAUACUUGAAGUCCACCAAUCAAAACCUGUCCCGCAAGCAUUUCCACAUGCCAGGCUGUUCUCCCUAACCUCUAAAUUUCGCCCCAAAUCCUGAAGUGGGGAGACAGAUCAGAGGGUACAUGCCCCCAUCUCCCUCCAGAUCAAUCACACAGAAUAAAGCUGAUUUCUUUUCCCAAAUGAUGAUGCCAUAAUAAUUGGCUUCUAUUUUAAAAUAUUCAUCAAGUAGGAGAACCCCAUUUGUGUGGUAACAAAUUUUGGCAACCAAGAAGAGAGAAGGUCUUGUGACCACCUGCCUGAGGCUCUGGAGCCGCUGGCUUUGUGCAGGGUCUUUCACUGAUCCUAAGUGGCCGCUUAGACAUUUUGUCUGGAGGCUCAGCUGAUUGGAUUCCUCUUUCCCACCGUGGCACCCCAGGCCCCCUGGUACUCUUUAUCCUUUUCAGAGAGGAAACUUCUCCAGGAUCAGAUGUCUUUUGGGUGAGUGACCUCAUUAAAACAUGCCUGUGCCUAAAAUUGUCUAAACCAGUAUUGUGGGUUAAGAUUCCCCACUGGGGAGAUUUUUCCUGGGUUAAAUUCCCAAGGCUAGAAUUGUUGGUUCAAGGGAGACAAUAUAAAAGAGUCCCACUGGGGCACUCAAAGGAUGGGGUUAGAGUCCUGAACUCUGGAGUAGGGUCCCAGAGUACCCUGGGUAAGAGUUCCAGAGUACCCUGGGUUAGGGUCCCAGAGUAUUUCUGUGUCUGUUUAUGUUUGUCUGUGUUUUACUGUUUUAUUUGUUAAAAUUGGCUGUUUUGGGACUGAGUUUCUUGGUGACCAUAAUAAACUCUCUUUAGAAAUUACCUUGUUUGUUGAGGCCACCUUAGGCAAAGCCCCUAAAAUGGGGAUAAAUGUAAAUGACUGGCAAGAUAACCUAACCCGGGGUAAUUUAAAAUUACAGUGGCCACUUUGGGCUCCUUUUGAGCUUUCAAACUGAGAAACAAAGAUAUCUUUAAAGAGUCAAGUGCACCACCUUCCAGCACAAUUACUCAAAACCUGAAGCUUCCAGAAGCUGUAAAUGUUUACAAAGAACUGCAGAAUCUUACCAAGCUUGUUUGGUGUCCUUAGGGCUUGGUUUAAUAAUCCUCAGGUUGGAGGUCCCAAAAUACGGUUGGGCAAAAAUGUGGUUGCACCCCAUUUUGUGGUCAGAUGUGGCUGGGCAGAAAUGUGGGUUGCACCCUCUUUUGUGGCUAAGGUUCCUGCCAAACUGCUGUCAGCCUUGGGGGAAAUACAUUGGCCAUUAGAAAGAAGACUUGGUUUGGCCUUCAUUGUGAGGGUCCUGGUUUCAGGGAUACCUGAUAUUUUCAAGAUCUGGUUCUAGCUGCAGCAUAAAUGUACUUUUGACUGGCUGUGUCUAAAUUCCAAAACAAUGGGAAACGCUAAUUCAAUCCCCACCUGUAGCCUCUAGGCUGCAUUCUACCAAAUUGGGCAAAUUUUAGCUAUGAGUCUAUGAAGAGGAAAAGGUGAUAUUCCUUUACAACACCACAUGGCCACAAUAUUCUUUAGACUCUAGAGAAAAUGGCCAGGUGAUGGAUCAUUCAGUGACUCUGGGAAAUUUGGUUUGAGUACUCAUUGGUUUAUUGAUCCUUCUCCUCCCAGAGAUGGCCACUAUUUUUCUUUGUCUCUGUCUUUUGUGUCACUUGUCAUAAAAAGAAAAAGCCAUAGGGCAAGAUGCAGGCAUCUCCAUAAGCCUGUUGUCGGGGCUGGCCUGCAGUAAACUUUGCUGUGGGUUAAUAUGCACAUGAGGUGAAAGCUGUUGCUAAGUGACAUCUUGGAAGCCAAAAAGGCUGCAGUAUUGAUGGGCACAGGUCGAGCAGUUCAGAGCCAAUAGGGUGCUCGCCACCUCAAGAAGACUCCUGCAAUAGGACAAGUUGGCCAUGGAAUGGGGUAAAAUAACACAGGGUGCCCAAAAACCUCAAGAAAAUUUACGUGCGACGAGGUACUCUGUAAAACACACACAAUCGCCAACCCUACACCACCAUCCUCCCAGGUAUUAGUUUGGCUCUGAGAGACCCAAGGCUUAGUCAAAGCUGUUAAUGUGCAUAUAAGAUGAAGUUUUUUUUCCUUCUGUCUUGUUCUGUGUCUUGAGAGCUUGGCUUUGUGACCUCUUUGGUCUCUGCCAUCUGGAGGAUGCACACACUGGUGUGUAUCUUGGUGGCCAGUCAAAUAGACUGAGGUUCUGAGAUGUACUUGUCACCAACUAAUUGCCCUGAGGAACUCAAGGGAGUUUUCGGAAGCAUUUAACUCUUUCUCCAAAUUGGUUUUUGUUGUUGUUAUGCUAAGAGAUGAAAUCACCAACCACCCUGAACCAGGCAGAGCCUCACCACAAGAGCAGCGCCUAUGCAGAUGAGCUGAUAGAUGACCUAAAGUUGUCCUUUACUUCAUUUUAAUGCUGAGAUCUCCACCCCAGGAGGAGCUUAGGCCUUAUUAGCCUAAUGUAUGAUGUAUAUGGAAGCAUGUUUUCCAACUAAGCCUGCACAAGUGAAUACCCACCUCUCCCUUUUGAGUAUUCAUUCCCCACUAAAUUAAAAGGCCCCUGCUGUCCCAUGCUGGGGGAGACCCACAACUUUGGAAAUGAUUCCAAAUGGUCUCCUAUUGGCUGCAAAUAAAUUUUACUUUGUAUGACAACUACUUCUGGUGAAGGCUCUGAUUUCACUUCACCAGGAAGCAGACCCACUUUGUUUCUGUAACAUACUCUUUUUGUGCAGCUGUAUCAGCUCUGAGGAGAGUUUGUCAUAAGGGGUCCCAGUCCAUCAGGGGCCUUUGUUAUCUCAACCUUUGUUGCUUGUUAGUGCACUACUGCCUGUGCAACAAAGGCCUUUGCUUUCUUAGACUAUUUUUGGGAUUGAAUUUUCUGGAUCUUGUCAGGGCUGCUUCUUUUGCACUCUCUAUUGGGGACAAUUCUUGUGUCCAUGGUUAAGCCACAAAAGGCUUAUUGGUUUGAGUCACUAUUAAGGUCCUGCUCAUCAAUGGCCAGACACGAUGGAUCCCUAAAUUAGAAACACUUCUAAAUUUGAAAAAUUUUUAGAGCGCUCUUGUAAUGAAUAGUCUUAAGAACUUAAUCAAAUUUGGAGUCUCAGCUUCCUCUCAUGGUCUUACUAAUGAAAGUUCCACCCGCCCCUCCACCCAGGGUGAAUUGGUCAAGAGUUGAAUUGUGCACUUGGAACAAAGGCCUUUAUUAAACACUUUGUGCAGACUUUUUAAAGAUGUGGUAAAUUGUCCUGAAGUUUUAGAACAUAAAAAUCUUUUGAUUAUGUAAAGAAGCAAUUGGAAAAAUGUAGCUGAAAGGGUGGAUCAACCUCUUUUAUCAUUCGUAUUGUAAUCCAGUUCUUUGGGGAACGGGAAACAACCAUCUUUGUCUUCAAAUUUCUGUAGGGCUGGAGGUGUUGCUCUAGAAAGCGUUUCAAAGUUCACUUGUCCUUUUGCCAAUCCCAAAGCUUCCCCUGUUCUUCUCAAAAUGCUCACAGAUAUUGGGACAUUAGAAACUGAUAUGGCAAAUAUGCCCCAGAAACUUCAUCUUGAAGGAAACUUGAGUGCUUUGUGAUGUGGCUUUUCUGUUCCCAUCUUCUGUAGGCUCAUCAAAAAACGUAAAAAGCCUUAGCCAUUUAAGCAGACAAACGUAACAUUUCCAGCUGUCAAAACAGAAUUUGGAUCCAAUUAUUUUAUAAACUAGUGAGUUUUGUAUUGCACCUGAUUCAUAGCAAAAAUUUAACAGAAGCUGUAAAGUCUCUAUCUGUGUUUACUUGUGUGUUCAUGUAUGUCUAUAUGUAUAUGUUGUAAAUGUGAGAUAUUUUUCUACCUCUGGAUGGUAUGGACAAAAUUAAGAGCUCUAAUUAAUUGGCUUAAAGUGAGCACUUAUAUAAAUGUAAUAGAAAGUAGUCCAAAUGUCUUCCAAGUUAACAUGGUAUACUCUUCAGUAAAUAAAAGCUUAUUUAAGAUGAUUUGUUUGAUCAAAAUGGUCAUGUCCUCAGAGUUAUUAGCAUCAGAUAUGAUACAGACAUGCCUUUAUUCUAUGUUUAUUGGUCAAGUAAGCUCAUAUUAUCUCUGUUAAAAACUGGUUAGGAGAAAUAAUAACUUAAAAUGAUAGCUAAUUUUGCCUAAUGUCUCAUGAAGUUCUGUAGGCAAUCUAAAUAAUUAUUGGGAACAAGUAAACUAAAUAGAUAUGAAAAAGGUAAAAGCAUUGUGUGAACUUUUUAACAAUAACUAUGUGUUAUGGCAUGUGUAUUUAACUUCCAAAAUCUCUUCAGUAACUUUAAACUUUGAAGUUUUGCUAAAUUUAGCUAAAUGAUAAGAUUCAUUGAAAAUCUGGGUCAUUUUAAAAUUAGAUAAAAUAAUGAAACAUUAUUGCUAAACAUGUCUAAGUUUAUUUACUUUUGGCUUCUUGUUACAGAGAAACUAAAAGAUGUUUGGGUAUAUUAGUAAACUUGUCUUGUAUUUUAUUAAAAGAUUGUACUGUGAAGUGUCAUGUUUCUAGAAAUUAUGAAAAAUGUUUAUAAACUUGAAAAGCCACAGAAUGCUAAUGUAGAAAUGGUUUAUAAUUGUUCACUUUUUUUUUAAAGAUUGACACGUGAGCUAAAAUCUGUUGCUAACCUUUUCCCCCCCUCUUCUCCCCAAAGCCACCCAGUACAUAGUUGUAUAUUCUAGUUGUAGGUCCUUCUGACUCUGCUAUGUGGGAUGCCACAUCAGCAUGGCUUGAUGAGUGGUGCUAGGUCCAUGCCCAGGAUCCAAACCAGGGAACCCCUGGGCCACUGAAGUGGAGCACAUGAACUUAAACACUCGGCCAUGGGGCCGGCCCCUGAAUUGCUUGCUUCUUAAUUUUUACUAAAAGUUAAGGUCUGUAAAGGUUAAGAAUUUUAAUUAAUAUAUGUGAUUAAAGCUACUAAAAAUUAAUAAGGAAAACAUCUUUGUAUUCAAGGAAAAUAAGAUGUAUGUUCUCAGUAAAGAAGGUAUAAAGAAUGGAAAUAUUUUUGUCUGUUUUGUAAAAAAGAAAUUUGUCCUAAAGUACCAGGAGGGGAGAAAGAAGGCAUGGGGCAAAUUCUGGAUGUAAAAAAAUUUAUAGAAGUUUUGUGGAAGAGGAUCCCGGGGAAAGUAUGUUGUACAUGAUCAAGAUGGCUAAGAUUAAAAUAAAUUUAAUAAGUUAAUAAGUUUUAAUAUCAAAAGUAAGCUGGUGCAAAAUUAGAAUUUGGUUUUCUCUCUCUUAAAAGAGAUAAUUUUCUUGAAAUUUUAGUCUUCUCUUGAUAAAGAGAUUAUAAAAGAUUUUUUUUACUUUUGAGUGAGUCUCACUUUGGAUAAGUAGAUAACUAAGCAUUAUUUCACAGUGAGCAUUGUUUCCUAUUUGACCAAGUGUUUUAAAACUUUUUGAUAUUUUUGACAAGCUUCCCCCCAAAUUCAAAUCGUGAACAAAGUCUUUCUUUGGACCUGAAAAAAAAGUUUUUCUUUGAAAAUUUGCUGAUGACCCCUGGGACUACUCAAAGAAAUUUGUUCUCUCUUCCUAUAAAGAGGAAGACACUAAAGUAAUUAAGCUUAUUUAGUAUAUUAAAUUAUAUGGGAAACAUUGUCAAAUAAGUGAUGAUAAACCUUCUUAGGUUAUAUUGUAUGGGUGAAUGUUACUAAUAUAAGUGUUUUUAAAAAUCAUAUAACAUUUCUAAAACUCUGAUCUGUCCUGGUAGUCAACCAUAAUUCUAGUUAUUAUUUUGAAGCAUUGUAUGUCACAGAAAUAGCCAAGUUUCUUUGUCUAUUGCCUUUUUGAAUCUUUUGUCAUUUGCAGAUAGUUGUUGGUUUACUGUGAGGGUUUUGCAAAUGUACUUUAUCUUCAGAGAGAUUUAUGGAAAGGACUCUGACACUUGCUCUAGAAUGCAGGUUUCUGAUAAACUUUCAGAUUAUAAAACUGAGCUGGGGAAAAAAAAAGAAAUUACACAACUCUAAUGGAGAAACUGAUGGUCUUAUAAAACUGCUAACAGAAGAUUAAGAUCAAGAAUCGAUUACACAGCACUGCAUGAACUGAUGAGGAUGAUUAUAAUUUUUAUGACUUUUCCUUUGAGAUAUUGCUGAUUUUUAAUGUUUUGUCUUUUCAGAUUUAAGGAAACCUUUAUCUCUUUUCUUUUAAGCUAACUAUGACACAGCAAUUUGGUAAAUGAUACCGUUGUAAGCAGAACUGAAACACUUAUCUUUUUCUCCCUAUCUAAUCCCUCCAGAAUUUGGAAACUCUUGAUGAGUGAGCAUUCUUAUUUUCAUGUAAUAUAGUUAUUUGCAUAAGUUCAAUAAGAAUCUGAUCUCCUUAUUGCAGGACACAAUUGGAAACACUGGUUAUAUUACUAGGGGUUUGAUUGGAAUGUCAUAUUUCAGAGAAACCUGCACAGAUUCAGAUAUGAUGAGAGAGCUUUUGAGGAACAAAGAUUCACUUCAUGGAAUAAAGCCACUUGGAAAUAUUGGCCUGGUACCUUACUUACAGGUUCACAGCAACUUUACCAGGAAUCAUUGAGACAUGAAACAACCUUUUUUCCUGAAGCCCUGCAAACUGAAGCUGGAUGACUUGAUAUAAACAAAUGCUUCUUAUUAAAUACCUGACUACAAUAUAGGCUUAACUUUGGGAGCCCACCUGCAUAAUCACCUUACAAAGAGACUGGUUCAAUGAGAUGGAAUAACCUCUGACCCUCAUCAACAGGAAGAAGCUACAGCAGUCAUCACCCUACAUCCUCAGGUUUGAGGAAUGAACACCAAAAAUGGGGGAUUUGUAACCAUGGGCCCAAUUAUAGCCAAUUUGAACGGACCUCAUCUCUCAUCAACAGAGUGAUCAAGAAAUUGUCUUUCAGAAAAUUUGCAAACUCAUGUAGCCAGAGCAUGUGCAGAAGAAGAACUCUUGACCUGAAAAGACUGUAGAACCAAAGGUUCUCCUCCUCACGGAACGAAAGGACCAGGACAUGACGAGAACUUAAAAGUCAGACUCUUAUCAGAAGUGAGGGGUCUAUCAUUCAGGAAGAUCUGGUGUUAAAAUUCCUUCCCAAUGUUUCCAUAAAAGUUUAGAACCUUACCACAAAUGUUUAGAACCUUACCAUAAAUGCUUGAAGCCCACCAGUCAAAACCUGUCUUGCCGGCAUUUCUGUGUGCCAAGCUGUUCUCCCUAACCUCUUGAAUUUCACCCCACAUCCUGAAUCAAGGAGACAGAUCUGAGGGCACAUGCCCCCUAUCUCCCUGAAGAUCAAUCUCACAGAAUAAAGCUGAUUUCUUUUCCCAAAAGCUGGUGUCAUAAUAAUUAGCUUUGUUUUAAUGCACAUGGGGUAUGAGAACCCAAUAUGUUCAGUAACAAUGUAUCUUGGGAUCUGAAUUCUCUAAUCUUCCUGAAGGCUGACAGUACAUGCUAUCCUAAUUCUUUACUUUUUUAAUAAUACUUCUGUUACAACACAAAAUUGGGGUUCUCCUACUGGCUACGUGGCUUUGUAAAUUUUCUGAAAGAUAAUUUAUUAAUUACUCUGUUAAUAAGAUGGAGUCAGUUGAACUGGUCCUGGAGGGCCUACGGUUACACUUACAUUGUUUCUAAGUCACAUUACUGAAAUUUAAAACACUUUCUAAAUGAAAAAAAAUGCACAAAGAGUUGUUAAAACAGAGAAGACAUUUGUAAACUACACCUCACAUAUUGGGUUCCUAUCCAUGAUUUGUGAAGCACACUAGGUAACAAAAUGACUGGUAACUAAUUUCAACAGAGAAUUCAAAUAAAAAUCAUAUAUAUAUAUGAACAAUAAGUAUGUUAAAAUAUGCCUAAACCAUUAGUGUCUUAGGGUUCUGCAGAGAAAUGGGAACAGUACGUUAUGUGUUUAUACAUAAAAGGAGAUUUAGAGCCAUCUGAUUGCCCAGUGGUUGAAGUUUGGCACUCCCGGCUUUGGUGGCCUGGGUUUGCUUCCUGGUCAUGGAACCACACUAAUCAUCUGUCAGUAGCCAAGCUGUGGUGGCAGCUCACAUAGAAGAAUUAGAACGACUUGUAACUAGGAUAUACAACUAUGCACCGGGGCUUUGGGGAGGCAAAAAAGGGCAGGGGAGAUUGGCAACAGAUGUCAGCUCAGGGCAAAUCUUUCUCUGCAAAUAAAUAAAAGGAGAUUUAUUAUGAGGAAUUGGCUUACGUGAUUAUGGAGACUAAGAGGUCUCAUGGUCUGCUGUUUGCAAGCUGGGGACCCAGGAAAGCCAGUGGUGUAAUUCAGUCUGAGUCCAAAGGCCUGAGAACCUGGCAAGCCGAUGGUUUAAGUCCCAGCGUGAGGGACAGAGGAUGCGAUGACAUGUCAAGUGAUGAGGCAGGAAGCAGAAAGGGGUGAAUUCCUCCUCCCUCUACCUUUUGUUCUAGCCAGGCUUUCAACGGAUUGGAUAAGGCCCCCACACACCAGGGAGGACAAUCUACUGAGUCCACUAAUUCAGAUGCUAAUCUCAUCCAGAAACACCCUCAUAGGCACACCCAGCAAUACUGUUUGACCUGGGCACCCCAUGACCAGUCAAGUUGACACAUAAAAUUAACCAUCACAACUAGAACUAAUAGAUGAAAAUAUAAACCCUAAGAAGAACAUUAAGUGGAAAAAGCAAGAUGCAAAAGAUGAGUACCAUGAUUCCUCUUUUGGAAGAGACCCUGUGUGUGUGUGCAGGUGUCUGUGUUCAUGCACCCCUCCCCCACAGGGACGCAUCUGGAGAGGAGGCCCUGCUCUAUGACAACAGGUCCCUUAGGGUCAGGGGGGAAGUCAGGCCCGUGAGAGAUGCAGAUUACUUUAUAAUAUACUUUCUUAUAUUGUUUGAAAUUUGAUACUCAGUAAAAACAGUAUUUGGAUAAAAAUCUGAACACCAAAUAUAGUUGUGAACAAAUUGACAAAAGUAAUAAUGCACGUAUAUUCAUUACUUUGAAAAAGCAUUCAUUGUAUUCAAUUUUAUGAGGCACCAAAGUAAAUAAAAAAUUGAAUUGACAGUGUAGUGUGUGUGUGGUCUUGUGUUUGUCUCUAGCUGGCUCACCCAAAAUACACACUCACAAGUGCAGUUUGACCAGGGCUGGGCAUCCAGUCUAGGUUAGAUAUCCCAG